ACCCUUUCGGUGUUUCCUCUCGGACUGUGCAAUGGAACGUGAACGUUGUGUUUCUGUAAAUAUAUCCUGUGGACGGCAGCCUUUACGGUUCCACAAGCAACUUCAUGUACGUUGUCAAGGCACGCCCACCUUUCCAUAUUCAUCUUCCCUCCUCAACUCCAUCAGUAUUUAUGCAUUUAUGCCGGGCGCGGUUUGUCCACUUGGGGGUUUGUUGGGACGCCGCUCCACCAAGCAGCUGGAGAUGAGAAAUUAUUUUCUAAUAAAAAAAAUACUUUUCUAUAAAUAGUUUUGCGGUGUUUAAAAAUGUUGAAAUAUAGUGCAUAUUUCAACUUGAAUUGCCUAAUUAAGAUAACUUUUAAAAUUGUUCCUACUAGAAACCGCUGCAACACCGCAGUCUGAUUUGUGUCUUGGGGAGGUCUCGGGGCAGCUGUGAAGGCGUCCGAGUGAGAGAGAUUUCCCUUCAUUCAUUGCGAUUAGCUUCAAUAACAUGACAGACCCAUUCAGGGCGGUGAAAAAUGCGGCCAUGGCUGUAGUGACGACGUCACAACGCGAGGUGCACUGUGCAAAUAGAGCAGCAGCUCACGGCCUGCAAGCUGUAGGCUUUUGGCACCGUCACUGGGGUUGUGUCGUGUGGACUUGAUGGUCAUGGGGACAGCACUUGAGUGCUCUGUUCUUUUGUUUCGUGUUGUUUAUAAAUGCUUCACCGUUGGUAGAUAACACAGUUACAUCACUUUCACGGGAAGUUCAAUAACAUGACGAGGUUUUCUUAAUGAGUUUAUAAAUGCCUCACCGUUGGUAGAUAACACAGUUACAUCACUUUCACGGGAAGUUCAAUAACAUGACGAGGUUUUCUUAAUGAGUUUAUAAAUGCCUCACCGUUGGUAGAUAACACAGUUACAUCACUUUCACGGGAAGUUCAAUAACAUGACGAGGUUUUCUUAAUGAGUUUAUAAAUGCCUCACCGUUGGUAGAUAACACAGUUACAUCACUUUCACGGGAAAAAAACAAUAACAUGACGAGGUUUUCUUAAUGAGUUUAUAAAUGCCUCACCGUUGGUAGAUAACACAGUUACAUCACUUUCACGGGAAGUUCAAUAACAUGACGAGGUUUUCUUAAUGAGUUUAUAAAUGCCUCACCGUUGGUAGAUAACACAGUUACAUCACUUUCACGGGAAAAAACAAUAACAUGACGAGGUUUUCUUAAUGAGUUUAUAAAUGCCUCACCGUUGGUAGAUAACACAGUUACAUCACUUUCACGGGAAGUUCAAUAACAUGACGAGGUUUUCUUAAUGAGUUUAUAAAUGCCUCACCGUUGGUAGAUAACACAGUUACAUCACUUUCACGGGAAAAAACAAUAACAUGACGAGGUUUUCUUAAUGAGUUUAUAAAUGCCUCACCGUUGGUAGAUAACACAGUUACAUCACUUUCACGGGAAGUUCAAUAACAUGACGAGGUUUUCUUAAUGAGUUUAUAAAUGCCUCACCGUUGGUAGAUAACACAGUUACAUCACUUUCACGGGAAAAUUCAAUAACAUGACGAGGUUUUCUUAAUGAGUUUAUAAAUGCCGACCGUUGGUAGAUAACACAGUUACAUCACUUUCACGGGAAAAAACAAUAACAUGACGAGGUUUUCUUAAUGAGUUUAUAAAUGCUUCACCGUUGGUAGAUAACACAGUUACAUCACUUUCACGGGAAAAAAACAAUAACAUGACGAGGUUUUCUUAAUGAGUUUAUAAAUGCCUCACCGUUGGUAGAUAACACAGUUACAUCACUUUCACGGGAAGUUCAAUAACAUGACGAGGUUUUCUUAAUGAGUUUAUAAAUGCCGACCGUUGGUAGAUAACACAGUUACAUCACUUUCACGGGAAAAAACAAUAACAUGACGAGGUUUUCUUAAUGAGUUUAUAAAUGCCUCACCGUUGGUAGAUAACACAGUUACAUCACUUUCACGGAAAAAAACAAUAACAUGACGAGGUUUUCUUAAUGAGUUUAUAAAUGCCUCACCGUUGGUAGAUAACACAGUUACAUCACUUUCACGGGAAGUUCAAUAACAUGACGAGGUUUUCUUAAUGAGUUUAUAAAUGCCUCACCGUUGGUAGAUAACACAGUUACAUCACUUUCACGGGAAGUUCAAUAACAUGACGAGGUUUUCUUAAUGAGUUUAUAAAUGCCUCACCGUUGGUAGAUAACACAGUUACAUCACUUUCACGGGAAAAAACAAUAACAUGACGAGGUUUUCUUAAUGAGUUUAUAAAUGCCUCACCGUUGGUAGAUAACACAGUUACAUCACUUUCACGGGAA